AACGCACCUUGCGCCCUUCGGCUAUUCCGAAGGGCAUGCCUGUUUGAGUAUCAUGAACACCUCAACUCUCAUGGCUUGCCGUGAUGAGCUUGGACUUUGGGGGUCUUACUGGCCUGUGGUCAGCUCCUCUCAAAUGGAUCAGCUUGCCAGUGUUUGGUGGCAUCACAGGUGUGAUAACUAUCUACGCUUGUGGUUUUCCAGCAGGUAACCUUCAGUGAUGGAGGUUCGCUGGGGCUCAUAAACGUCUCUCCUCAGUGAGGACAGCUCUUUGAACGUUUGAUCUCAAAUCAGGUAGGACUACCCGCUGAACUUAA
rnacentral:misc_RNA from 1 species